UGAACAUGAUCUGCUCUCUUCAAAGACACGAUGAGCUUCAGUGACUUGGAAGAUACAUCACCCUGGCCAAUUAAUUAGGCAACUUUAAAAAUCCAGCAAGCUAAGUGCAUGUUUAUUUCUUAUUUUUGUUGCAUGGUUGAUCUACAGGUAAGACAAGCUUUCUAAAGUAGGUACAAAUAAACUGUUAAAUGUGUUCUUUCUUCUCUAAAUAAUUUUUGUAUUUUUUUUUUUUUUCUCUAGGAAGUAUCCAAAAUUGGGCAGAAAAGGAAGAGAGUCAUUCCAAACUCUGUAGUAGCUGAACCAUUGUGUAUCUGCAAGGCAGCCUUGAGUAAGUGAGGAGUUACUGCCUCUCAUGGAGGCAAGAUACAGAUGAUCAGCUGCCAGCUGGCCAGUUUAUCUGCAAGUGCUUUGGGAAUAAUACGCAGUUCACUGUCUCAGUAGCCCAACUAACAAGGGGCUCGAAGCGUGGCUCAGAUUAUCUUCUAGACCUGCUCGGUGUUGGCGUACUUCAAGAACAAACAAAUCUGUCCCUGUUCCGUGCAUCACUGUUGCAAAUCUGUUGUCAGAGGUUUGAGAACCAACAGCAAGUGGAAUCAGCUGGAGAUGCUGAGGCAGGAAACUCAGGGUGAGCACCUUCAUCAACAAUUAGCUUAAGUAGUGGCCUGCUUACAGCAGUGACCAGUCCUGCCUCACCAUAAUCUUUCUUCUGGGCUGGUUGAAUCUUUCAUAUUUUCCACUUUCACAUGCAGGACACCUUUCUCUUCUUGCCAUCCUUUUGUUGUAAGUCUCUGUUUCCGUAAGGACUGGCUUCCUAGGGACUUUGUUGCAAUGAGACUUUUUUUUUUGGCUGAAGUUUGAGACCUUAGAGGUUUACAGUUUUCUGUUUUCCUUCACCCAGAAAAAGAAAUAAUAGGAAUUGUAAUAUGAACUGAGAUUCUUAUUUUGCUACAAGGUCCUAGCAGCCACAAUAACUUCUUUGUCUCCCCCUCUGCUCUCCCAGUAAAGCAUUAAAUGACUCAGAAGACCUGAAAACACUUAGAUUAAAAAAAUAAAUAAAUAACUCCACCAUAAAGAUUAAAAUAAAAGAGGUGUUAAGACUUCUGAAAACCAUGGCCUGUAUUUAAGCCUGUCCUGUACUUUCUAGAGCACCUAAGAAAGGAACAAUUCCGUAAAAAUAAUGGAUUAUUAGUGCAUUUAAAAGAAACAAAGCCUGCAGCUUGUCUGUUGCCUAGCAAAGAGUUUUAACAUUAAUUAAAAAACACAUUUAGAGCAGCUGGCAGA
rnacentral:lncRNA from 1 species